GGAAUGUUGGGGCAUCCUGCACGAGGCAGACCCUGUCCAAGCUGCCCACUGGGAUAACUGACAGCAACACCGGCAACUUGUCAAAGUAAACGGGAAGGAGGUCAGUGGUCUGCGGGAUACCGGUGCAACCAUGACACUACUUCAAAAGCACUUGGUGUCUGAGAACCAACACAUUGGAGACACUGUGGCGGUGAGAGUAAUCGGAGGCACUGUGUUUCGCCUACCCAUUGCCCGGGUACAUUUGGAUUGGGGAGUGGGCGCUAGACAUGUG